CCUACGGGAGGCUGCAGUGGGGAAUAUUGCACAAUGGGGGAAACCCUGAUGCAGCGACGCCGCGUGAGUGAAGAAGUAUUUCGGUAUGUAAAGCUCUAUCAGCAGGGAAGAAAAUGACGGUACCUGAUAAAGAAGCCCCGGUUAACUACGUGACAGCAGCCGCGGUAAGACGUAGGGGGCAAGCGUUAUUCGGAUUUACUGGGUGUAAAGGGAGCGUAGACGGCAGCACAAGUCUGGAGUGAAAUGCCGGGGCUUAACCCCGGAACUGCUUUUGAAACUGUGCAGCUAGAGUGCAGGAGAGGUGAGUAGAAUUCCUGGUGUAGCGGUGAAAUGCGUAGAUAUGAGGAGGAACACCAGUGGCGAAGGCGGCUUACUGGACUGUAACUGACGUUGAGGCGCGAAAGCGUGGGGAGCAAACAGGAUUAGAUACCCUAGUAGUC
rnacentral:rRNA from 1 species